rnacentral:rRNA from 1 species
AGUGAACGCUGGCGGUAGGCCUAACACAUGCAAGUCGAACGGCAGCACAGUAAGAGCUUGCUCUUACGGGUGGCGAGUGGCGGACGGGUGAGGAAUACAUCGGAAUCUACUUUUUCGUGGGGGAUAACGUAGGGAAACUUACGCUAAUACCGCAUACGACCUACGGGUGAAAGCAGGGGAUCUUCGGACCUUGCGCGACUGAAUGAGCCGAUGUCGGAUUAGCUAGUUGGCGGGGUAAAGGCCGACCAAGGCGACGAUCCGUAGCUGGUCUGAGAGGAUGAUCAGCCACACUGGAACUGAGACACGGUCCAGACUCCUACGGGAGGCAGCAGUGGGGAAUAUUGGACAAUGGGCGCAAGCCUGAUCCAGCCAUACCGCGUGGGUGAAGAAGGCCUUCGGGUUGUAAAGCCCUUUUGUUGGGAAAGAAAAGCAGCAGGUUAAUACCGCGCUGUUCUGACGGUACCCAAAGAAUAAGCACCGGCUAACUUCGUG